UACGAACUGUGCAAACGUUAUUCGGAAUCACUGGGCUUACAGGGUGCGUAGGCGGCUUGUUAAGCAGGGUGUGAAAUCCCUCGGCUCAACCGAGGAAUUGCGCCCUGAACUGGCGAGCUGGAGUGGGACAGAGGUGCGCGGAACUUCCAGUGGAGCGGUGAAAUGUGUUGAUAUUGGAAGGAACGCCGGAGGCGAAAGCGGCGCACUGGGUCUUAACUGACGCUGAGGCACGAAAGCCAGGGGAGCAAACGGGAUUAGAUACCCCGGUAGUCCUGGCCGUAAACUAUGAGCACUAGCUGGAAGCGGCGUAUGCCGUUUCCAACGUAGCGAAAGUGUUAAGUGCUCCGCCUGGGGAGUAUGGUCGCAAGGCUG
rnacentral:rRNA from 1 species